rnacentral:lncRNA from 1 species
GAGGGAAGGAAGAAGGAAAGAAAAAGGCAGAAACAAUUGAAGAGAAUUAACUUCUUAGCCUGGACAGGAACAUGAGCGGAAGACCUAGUUAGUUCCUACUUACCCUUUGCUGCUGUGCUGGCAGCAUACCAAAUGACUUCCCCAAGGACAGUGGUCCAUUCUUUUUAAAAAAUAACUUCAAAAAAUGAAAUCGUGAUCUUUCCUGGUAAUGCAUUUCAGUAGCUUGCUUAUAUCUGUGUGCCAGUAGGAAUGGAGCUGGAGUUAGGCUUGAUCCCAGCUUUGAUACAGAUUAACCAUGAUCUCGAGCAAUUUACCUAAUUGUUUGCACCUCAUUUUCUUUAUCAUAAAACAGAGAGAUUUACCUCAAAGCACAUUGUGCAGCUAAAAUGAGGUCAAAUAUAUGAGAGUGCCUGGAAAGUACACACAGGUUGGCUCAACCUAGGUUUAGCUGAAAACAUACAUAAAAAAGAUUUUCUAAUCUAGCUGGUCUUUGUUUCUGCCUCUAGGGAUCUUAACUUGUCAUACGUAUCCAUUUCUGAGGUUGUUCUGUAGUAGUUUCUUUAUCCUAUAUUUCUCCAAUCAUCCACUAGGUUUGCAUGCCAAUGGCAAGACUAAAGGUGCCUUUGCCUUCUGGUUGACAAUGGAGUGGCAGGUAGCUUUUUAGGAGCUACCCUAUCUUGAGCCUGUGCUAUCCAAGCUCUCUAUGCCAUUUCUUCUACUGUAUGAGGGGGUAGAUCUAUCCUGCAAGGCUGCUGUGCAGAUUAAAAGCAAUAUCAAAUGAGAAGUGCCUAAUAUACUGGUAGACACAUAAUAGAUGCUUAAGAUGAGAAAUGUUUAAUAGGAUGAAUUAUUAGGAAUUUUUAAACAUUAGUUAUUUAUGCCUGCAAUCCCAGCACUUUGGGAGGCUGAAGUGGGCAGAUCACCUGAGGUCAGGAGUUCAAGACCAGCCUGGCCAACAUGGUUCUCAAGGCAUCUCUUACAAAUGUAGAGAAAGCCCUGGCUAUGGGCCACGUCUCAUUUCCUUGCAGAAACCCCUUCUCUCUGAAAUGCAGUGGAAUGGAUAAGCUGGCGCACAAAGAACGCGAAUGUAAGCGGAAUAGGGUCAGUGCUGACAUCAAGGAACAAAGAAAAGGCCAGAGGGGUUCAGAAGGAGAGCAACUGAUUCUGGAAAGAGACAUCAAAAUGUGGAAGCCUUCCUGGAUGGAAGGGAAUUUCAACUGGACUGGAAACGAUGGAAAGGAUUUUGAAGGCAGAGAUAGAGGAGGAACAUCUCUAACUGAGAAAACAGUUUGAACAGACUUGUACAGGAAAAAAAAUAAAUCGUCUUCCACAUUUGGCAAAAACACUAGGAAUUGAGUUGGUUGGCAGGUAGGAUACAUGAAGGAGUCAGUGGGAGCUGAGGAUAAGAUUAUUUCACAUGAUAUGUACUUUGCCAUUUAUAAACAGAAUUUGGGUUUAAGCCUGUAGUCCCAGCUACCCAGAGGCUGAGGGAAGAGGAUUGCUUGAGCCUAGAAGUUCGAGACCCACCUGGGCAACAGAGCCAGACCCCAUUUCUUAAAGAAAAAGAUCUUGGGUUCAAUAUGUCCUUUUGUUCAACAACCCUGUGAAGUAGGCAGAGGAAAUAGGAUUAUUUCCUGUAAUGGAUCAGGUAACCUGGUUACAGGGCAGUUAAUUCAUUCUAAGUGACACAGGCUGUAAGUGAGAAAACCAGCACCAAAUUUCAUACUAAUUUUACUACAUUAAGUUUCAUCGCUGGAAAUAAAGAAGAAGUUUGCAGGGCCAAGCUAGUUGAAGCUUACCUUGGACAAAGAAUCAAAGUUUUUUUUUUUUCUUUCUUUCUUUUUUUUUCAUAAGAGGUGGGUGGGGGUGUUGACAAGGAGGAAAGGGAGGAACCCACGAACGUAAUUUCAGCAACAGUUCCCUUAACAACGCCUGCAGAUGGAUGAAUUUCCGCACAGUCUGGUUUUCUGUUCCUUUUCUGUUCCUGAAGAGAAACAAUGAGGGAGUGAGGGAUACACAGUGAUGUUUAUCUUUCCAGCUCUGGACUUUCAAAUUCUGGAAUCCCCCAGGGUUGGGGAAGGGUGGGUGUAGUCACUUCCCACCGUUGCAGAGGGAUGGGAGAUGUAGCAACUCCUGUCGGGGCAUGGGGCGGGGUGUGUGAUUUCCUCCCAAAUCGGAAAUUUAUCUCCCGAAUGGGAGGCUGCAGAGAGUCAUCAAGGACUUAUCUCUAGGAGCAGACACCAGAGAGGAGCCCUGCCCAAUCCUUUACCCCAAAGUGGGUGUGCUUAGCUCGAGGAGGGAGAAGAGGGUUGCCAGCUAAGAGUCAGCACCAAGGGCGCCUGCUCUCAUGCAUGUGUCAAUGAAGAAUUCCUGCCAGACUUCCAGUACUGUCCCCGACCCUGGGCAGAAUCCCAGCUGCCCCUCCCAGAACGCUCCAUGCCGCUGGAACUCAGGAGCGCAGCUCAGCUCUGUAAUCGAAAGCAAAGGAGAGUUUUGGUCCUUUCCUUGGAUUGAGUCCAAAAUUCAGGGAUGAACAGCUCAGCUCCUAGAAAUUACGCUCUGGAAUUUCCAAAAGCUCAACAAAUAGCCCCAACAUGCAGGGUUGUUUGUUGAGAUGAAGCAUCCUUUUACUACCCUUAGAACAUUACAACAGGAAGGAAGUCCCAUCCCUUUUUUAUAGAUGAGGAAACUGCAGGAUAGAGAGACUAAAUAUAUAUUAAAUCAAGCAUAUUAAUUAUAGUAUUUAAAUUUUCUAAGUCCUUAUUUUAUUUUAAAUCUGAUUUAUUAGACCUAAAGGUAGGUAAAUCUUCCUCUCCUGCUGUCUUCCUCCUCAUGUAUAUUUCCAAAGUUUUUUUUAACCUAUAUUUAUACAAGUAAUUAGCUUCCAUUCAUUUGUUUCAUCAUCUAUAAAAUGGAAAUGAUCUUUGCCUCACAGAUGCAUGAAUAUUAAAG